rnacentral:tRNA from 1 species
GAGAGAUGGCCGAGUGGUCGAAGGCGGCAGUCUUGAAAACUGUUGUGGGGCAACUCACCGGGGGUUCGAAUCCCUCUCUCUCC